rnacentral:rRNA from 1 species
AAAACGACUCUCGGCAACGGAUAUCUCGGCUCUCGCAUCGAUGAAGAACGUAGCGAAAUGCGAUACUUGGUGUGAAUUACAGAAUCCCGUGAACCAUCGAGUCUUUGAACGCAAGUUGCGCCCGAAGCUUUCGGGCUGAGGGCACGUCUGCCUGGG